rnacentral:rRNA from 1 species
UACAGAGGGGGCAAGCGUUGUUCGGAAUUACUGGGCGUAAAGGGCGCGUAGGCGGCUUGGCAAGUGGAAGGUGAAAUCCCUCGGCUCAACUGAGGAACUGCCUUCCAGACUGCUUUGCUUGAGUCCGGGAGAGGUGAGUGGAAUUCCCAGUGUAGCGGUGAAAUGCGUAGAUAUUGGGAGGAACACCAGUGGCGAAGGCGGCUCACUGGACCGGAACUGACGCUGAGGCGCGGAAGCGUGGGGAGCAAACGGG